rnacentral:rRNA from 1 species
GCAUUUGACCAACACGACCGUUUUCAUUAAUCUCGAACGAAACGUUAGGGGAUCGAAGAUGAUCACGCAUACCGUCGUCAGUCUUAAACAUCAAACUACUGCCGACUAGGGAUCGGGUGGUGUUUUUUUUGUNGAGCACUCGGCCCUUACAAGAAAUGAAAGUUUUUGGGUUCUGGGGGGAGUAUGGUCGCAAGGCUGAAACUUAAAGGAAUUGACGGAAGGGCACCACCAGGCAGUGGAGCCUGCGGCUUAAUUUGACUCAACACGGGGAAACUCACCAGGUCCAGACACAAUAAGGAUUGACAGAUUGAUANCUCUUUCUUGAUUUUGUGGGUGGUGGUGCAUGGCCCUUCUUAGUUGGUGGAGUGAUUUGUCUGCUUAAUUGCGAUAACGAACGAGACCUUAACCUACUAAAUAGUACUAUUAGCGUUUGCCUGAUUUGGGACUUCUUAGAGGGACUAUCGGUUUCCAGCCGAUCGAAGUUUGACGCAAUAACAGGUCUGUGAUGCCCUUAAAUGUUCUGGGCCGCACGCGCGCUACACUGACGGAACCCACGAUAUAUCCUUUGNCCGAGAGGCUCCGGGUAAACUUGCUGAAACUCCCUCGUGCUGGGGAUAGAGCAUUGCAAUUAUUGCUUUU